UAGUAUUAAAGGUACUGCCUGCCCAGUGAAAUUUUUAACGGCCGCGGUAUUCUAACCGUGCAAAGGUAGCGUAAUCACUUGCCCUCUAAAUAAGGGCCAGUAUGAAUGGCUAAAUGAGGGUUAACCUGUCUCCUUUAACUCAUCAGUGAAACUGAUCUACCAGUACAAAAGCUGGUAUGACCCUAUAAGACGAGAAGACCCUGUGGAGCUUUAAAUUUGCUAUUACCCAAAAUUCUCCCUCUGGCCCUAAUAUCAAAAUUUUCAGUUGGGGCGACUUCGGAACAAAAACUAACUUCCGAGCAAAAAGACUCAAUCUAAACAAGACCAACAAGUCAAAACAAAAUGACCCAGUAACACUGAUCAAUGAACCAAGUUACCCCAGGGAUAACAGCGCAAUCUUCUUCAAGAGUCCCUAUCGACAAGAAGGUUUACGACCUCGAUGUUGGAUCAGGACACCCAAUUAGUGCAGCCGCUAUUAAAGGUUCGUUUGUUCAACGAUUAAUAGUCCUACGUGAUCUGAGUUCAGACCGGAGC
rnacentral:rRNA from 1 species